rnacentral:rRNA from 1 species
UGCCUCAGUAACGGCGAGUGAAGCGGCAACAGCUCAAAUUUGAAAGCUGGCUCUUUUAGGGCCCGCAUUGUAAUUUGUAGAGGAUGCUUCAGGUGCGGCGCUGGUCUAAGUUCUUUGGAACAAGACGUCAUAGAGGGUGAGAAUCCCGUAUGUGACUAGCUGCCUGUGCCUGUGUGAAGCUCCUUCGACGAGUCGAGUUGUUUGGGAAUGCAGCUCAAAAUGGGUGGUGUACUUCAUCUAAAGCUAAAUAUUGGCCAGAGACCGAUAGCGCACAAGUAGAGUGAUCGAAAGAUGAAAAGCACUUUGGAAAGAGAGUUAAACAGUACGUGAAAUUGUUGAAAGGGAAGCGCUUGCAAUCAGACUUGCGCGGCGUCGAUCAACCUGGGUUCUCCCUGGUGCACUCGGCGCUGCUCAGGCCAGCAUCAGUUUCAGCGGUUGGAUAAAGGCCUAGGGAACGUGGGUUACUUCGGUGACUGUUAUAGCCCUAGGUGCAAUGCAGCCUGCUGGGACUGAGGACCGCGCUUCGGCUAGGAUGCUGGCGUAAUGGUUGUAAGCGACCCGUCUUGAAACACGGACCAAGGAGUGUAAUAUUUAUGCGAGUUUUUGGGUGUUAAACCCAUAAGCGUAAUGAAAGUGAACGGAGGUGAGAACCCUUCAGGGUGCAUCAUCGACCGAUCCUGAAGUCUUCGGAUGGAUUUGAGUAAGAGCAUAACUAUUGCGACCCGAAAGAUGAUGAUCUAUACUUGAAUAGGGUGAAGCCAGAGGAAACUCUGGUGGAGGCUCGCAGCGGUUCUGACGUGCAAAUCGAUCGUCAAAUUUGAGUAUAGGGGCGAAAGACUAAUCGAA